rnacentral:rRNA from 1 species
AUUUUUAUUUAAUAAUUUAUUUUUUUAAAAAUUAGGUGAAAUUUUUUUUAUUAACAUGAUUAGUUUUUUUAUUUAGAGAUCAAUAAAUCUUUUUAUUAAACUAGGAUUAGAUACCCUAUUAUUAUAGACGGAAGUUUAUGACCAGAUUAGUAUUAGUUAUUUUCUUGAAAAUUAAAAAAUUUGGCGGUAUUUUAGUCUUUUCAGAGGAACCUGUUGUAUGAUUGAUAGUCCACGAUUUAUUAUACUUUUAUUAUUAGUUUAUAUAUCGUUGUUGUUUGAAUAUUUUUUAAGGAUUUAAAUAUUCAUAAUUUUCUUUAGAAAGGAAAUCAGAUCAAGAUGUAGCUUAUAUAAAAGAAUUAAUGGGUUACAAUAAAUUAUAUUUAAACGGACAGGGUUUUGAAAAUACUCUUAAAGGUGGAUUUGAAAGUAAUUAGAAUUUAGAUUGUUUUGAUGAUUUAGCUCUAGAAUAUGUACAUAUUGCCCGUCGCUUUCGUUAUAAAAUGAAAUAAGUCGUAACAUAGUAGAUUUACCGGAAGGUGAAUCUGGGUAGA